CAGAAGAAUCACUUGAGCCCGGGAGACAGGUUGCAGCUAGCCGAGAUCAUGCCAGUGCACUCCAGCCUGGGUAACAGAGUGAGACUCUGCCUCAGUGGAACAUGUGGUUGAUCUUGAAAUACGUUUGGUAUGCAAAUGAGAAGAAUGUAUAUUCUGUGGUUGAGUGUUCUUUAGGUUUCUAUUAGGUGCAAUUGGUCAAGUAUUGAAUUUAAGUCCAAAGUUAAUUUCUUUUUUAGUUUUCUGCCUUAAUGAUCUGUGUAAUGUUAUCAGUAGGCAUUGAAGUCCCCUAACUAUUGUUGUGUGGCUAAGUGUUUUCACAGGUCUAGAAGUGUCUGUUUUAUUAACCUGGGUGAGCCAAUGUUGGGUGCAUAUAUAUUUAGGAUAGUUAAGGCUUCUUGUUGAAUUGAACUCCUUAUCGUUAUGUAAUGCCCUUUUUUGUCCUUUUUUACUAUUGUUGGCUUAAAGCCUGUUUUAUCUGUUUUAGGAAUAGUGACCCCUGCUCUUUUUUGUGUUUUGUUUGUGUGAUCUUUCUUCAACCCUUUACUUUGAAUGUAAUGGUGUUGUUACAUGUGAAAUGGGUCUCUUGAAGACAGCAGACAGAUGGGUUUUGUUUUUUGUUUUUUUUUGUUUUUGUAAUCCAACUUGCCACUCUGCGACUUUUAAGUGGUGUCUUUAAACCAUUUGUCAUUCAGGGUUAAUGUUGACCUGUGAGCUUUUCACCCUAUUGUGAAAUUGUUAGCUGGUAUUUUGUACUUUCUAUUGUGUGGUUGUUUUAUAGGGUCUGUGUGCUAUGUACUUAAGUAUGUUAUAUAGCAGGUAUCAUUCUUUCAUUUCCAUGUUUAGAACUCCCUUAGGCAUCUCUUGUAAGAGUGGUCUAGUGGUAAUGAAUUCUCUUGGCACUUGCUUCUCUGGAAAAAUGUUUUUGUUUUUUUUUCUCCUUCACUCCUGAAGCUCAGUUUGGAAGGAUAUGAAUCUUUUGAUUAUAAUUUAUUUUCUUUAAGAAUUCUGAAAAUAGACCCCCCAAUCUCUCCUGGCUUGUAAGGUUUCUGCUGAGAAGUCUGCUCUUAUCCUGAUGGGGCUCCCUUUGUAUGUGAACUGGCCUUUUUCUCUAGUGCCUUUUAGGACUUUUUCUUUAAUGGUGACCUUGGACAGUCUGGUGAGUAUAUGCCUUGGUAAUGUUCAUUUUUUUAUAGUAUCUGCAGGUGCUCUCUGGCUUUAUUGUACCUAGAUGUCUACCUUUCUAGCAAGAGUCAAUAAAUUUUCUUGAAUUAUUCCAUCAAAUAUAUUUUCCAGGUUGUUUUCUUUUUCUCCUUUUCUCUAGGGAAUACCAGUAAUUUGUAGGUUUGAUCACUUUACAUAAUCUCAUAUCUCUGAAAGGCUUUCUUCACUUUUAAAAAAUCUUUUUCUUUAUUUUUGUCUGACUGCAUUAGUUCAAAAGAUCAGUUUUCAAGCUCUGAAAUUAUGUUUUCUACUUGGUCCAGUCUAUUGAUAAAAGCUUUCAAUUGUAUUUUGAAAUUCCUUAAGUGAGUUUUUUUAAAUUCCAGAAGUUCUGAUUAAUUUCUUAAGAUGUUUAUCUCUUCCUUCAUUUCCUGGGUUGAUUUAGAAGUUUCUUUUUGUUGAUUUCAACCUUGAAUCUCAUUGCGCUUUCUUGCAACCCAUGCUUUGAAUUCUUUGUCAUUUCUGAGUUUUCAUUUUGGUAGAAAGCGUUGCCAGAGAGCUAGUGUGAUCCUUUGGUGGUGUCACUACAUUCAGAUUUCUCAUGGUGCCCGAAUUCUUGCACUGGUCCUUCUCAUCUGGAGAUGCUAGCACUUCUAGUUUUUGUAAUUAUUUUUCUUUGAGUAGAAUUUUUUUUCCUUUCCUUUCCUAUGAUGAUAUUAUUAUUAUUAUAUUUCUUCUUCUUCUUCUUCCUCUUCCUCCUCCUCCUCCUUCUCCUUCUUUCUUCUUCUUUCCCUUUCCCUCCUCCCUAGGGGGUGUGACUGUAGAGCAUGCUAGAUGGCAUCUUUUGGCUUUGCUUCUGUAGCCCUAUGCACUUCGGUCAGAAAGUUUUAUAUUGGGUGUGUGGUUUGACCUACAAGCCAGUAGAUGGCACCAUGGGUAAGAGCUGGCUGUGGCCAGUGCUGCUGGCUAUAUACUUGAUCCUUGUUUAUGGAGAGGAGCUUUCUGUUGCCUCAGGCAAUGGACUGAUUCCCAGAGUAUACAUUAAUCUGAGCUCCCCCGAUCCUCAGCCUUAGGGGUAGGGGUGUUGGGGGUACAACAUGGGUGGAGCCAGAUGGGGAAAGUCCCCCAAUAUUGUCCUUCUCUCAGUUCAGAUUUGGGAAAAUGCCUGCAGCUUUUCCCUGUGUCUUUCCCUCACAAAGUCUCCAACUCUCUCCUCUAAUUAGUUCCAGGGCUUGGGAGAAGCCCCAGGUUGCUUGAAUCCCCGGGUUGCUUGAAUCCCCAGUGGAAAGGAAGAACUGGAACUGUGGUUUGUGCCUUCCUUAUUGCCUCUGAACUAUUUUUAACUGCAAAGGUAUGAAAGAUGUUACUACAAACUUUGUCUUACGAUGACUGAGUUUGCUAGUUCUGAAACAUCACUGGUAGGAUGUUAAGAUGAUUUAGUCAUGGUGCUUAGUGGAACUAAUUGGAGAAGCAGUUUUUAGAAAGCCUGUUUUUGAUACUUUCUUAUUUAACAUGCAGUAGUUAGUAGCUGACUUAAGAAUCUCUUUGGGCCAAGACUAGAGCAAGGUCAAUGAAGUGCAAAAUUUAAGGGAAUGCUAAAAAUUGCAAUAAUUAAAAUAAUUUUUAAUGCAAUAUUUUAACAAUAAAAAUUAAUGCGAAAUCUAUGAUGUAUAUAAUAUCAACAUUUUAAAUAAAGACAAGACCUGAUGGGGCUGGAUUAAGGUAAGGGGAGUAAAGCCAUGUUACACAGAUACAAAAACAUUCAGUAAUCAUAGUGCUUCCCUCACCUCACCUGGCCCUGCUCUUACUCCUGCUAGUACCAUUAUUACCAGUGGGUCUUAGUUCUUAGAGCUCCCAAGAUGGUGGCGGACCACUCCCAAGAUGGUGGCUGGCCACUCCCAAGAUGGUGGCGGGCCACUCCCAAGAUGGCAGCAAGCCUUUUGUUCUCUCACCUGGGGUUCUUGGCCUCACCGAUUCCAAGUAAUGGAACCUUGGGCUAUGCAGUGAGUGUUAUAGCUAUAGAAGCCGUGGGUCACAGAGAACCAUGGAACCCAGUGACUAGUGUUCAGCUCGAUUAGGACGAACUUAGCCGCGCAGGAACAAUGGCGAGCCUCUAGCCCAAUCAGGAGCAGCAAUGGGCGCCUCGAUGGAUCAGAAGUGCAGAGGACACCCUGCCAGAUCCAGAGGGGUGGAAGUCAGCAAUGGGUCUCGGAGGGGGGCGAUCGGCAGUGGUGGAUGGUGAGUGAAAGCUCAGCUCAAGUCGGAACAAACACAAACCAGAAGAGUGUGCAAUUGCAAGAUUUAAUAGAGUGAAAACAGAGCUCCCAUACAAUGGGAGGGGACCCAAAGGGGGUUGCCACUGCUGGCUCCAAUGCUGGGUUUAUAUCCGGAUCAUUGUCCCUCCCGCUGUGCUCUCGGGAUAGAUGAUUGACUAUUUCUUUACCUCCUGCUUUUAGUCUAAUUGGUAUUUUAGUGAGCUCCCUUUACUACCUGAUGGGUUGGGUGUGAGCUGAGUUACCAGCCCCAUGUUUAAAGGUGGGCGCUGUCACCUUCCCCAGCUAGGCUUAGGAAUUCUUAGUCAACUUAGGAAAUCCAGCUAGUCCUGUCUCUCACCAUGACUUCUUCCUUCCUCGUGAGAAUAUUAUCAGGCUUAAUUAGAUAAAUUCUCCAAAGAGCCUUGACCAUCCUCACAACUCUUAGAUAGAUAAAAGCAACAUUUUGCAACUCAAAGCAUCCCCUGAAUGUAAAUAUCUUUGCUUAGUCAAUACAUAUGGAGUCUGACCUCUAGAAAAUUCAGAUAAGACAAGGUGGGCUGUUUCCACUUAAAGUAGAGUUCUCGGUCAUUUUUCUUUCUGUCAUUUUCUUGCUGAGAUGCUACCAUUCCAGCAGCUCCGCUCGAGUUGUUUGGCCUACAGUCUAGGGAAGAAGUGGUGGUUAUGCACAAUGCCCAGCACUCCAAUUCCACCACCUUUGGUUUUUCUAAUUUGAGACACACAGAUUUUGAAAAUGGAUGUUCUAGGUGUUUUUCAAGCUAUAGAUCAUGAUUUAUCAGCGAGUUGUAAAAUAAAGUGAGUGGGUUGUGACUAA